rnacentral:misc_RNA from 1 species
GAUGAAGAACGUAGCGAAAUGCGAUACUUGGUGUGAAUUGCAGAAUCCCGUGAACCAUCGAGUCUUUGAACGCAAGUUGCGCCCGAAGCCAUCAGGUUGAGGGCACGUCUGCCUGGGCGUCACAUAUCGUUGCUCGAUGCCUAUCGCAUUGCGAUAGGACUUAGGGCGAAUGAUGGCUUCCCGUGAGCGUUGUUGCCUCGCGGUUGGUUGAAAAUCGAGUCCUUGGUAGGGUGUGCCAUGAUAGAUGAGGGUCGAGUUAGCACGAGACCGGUCAUGUGCAUGCUCCCCAAAAUAUGGCCUCUGUGACCCACACGCGUCUUUUGACGCUCAUGACGAGACCUCAGGUCAGGCGGGGCUACCCGCUGAAUUUAAGCAUAUCAAUAAGCGGAGGA